rnacentral:rRNA from 1 species
GAUGAACGCUGGCGGCGUGCCUAACACAUGCAAGUCGAGCGGGGGUAUUGACUUCGGUUGAUACUUCAGCGGCGGACGGGUGAGUAACGCGUGGACAAUCUGCCGAAGGGACGGGGAUAACAUUUNGGAAACAGAUGCUAAUACCCGAUAAGCCGACAGUACCGCAUGGUACAGCCGGAAAAAGGAGCAAUCCGCCCAAUGAGGAGUCCGCGUCUGAUNAGCUAGUUGGCGGGGUAAAGGCCCACCAAGGCGACGAUCAGUAGCCGACCUGAGAGGGUGAUCGGCCACAUUGGGACUGAGACACGGCCCAAACUCCUACGGGAGGCAGCAGUGGGGGAUAUUGCACAAUGGACGGAAGUCUGAUGCGGCAACGCCGCGUGAGGGAAGAAGGUUUUCGGAUCGUAAACCUCUAUCGAUAGGGACGAAAUAAUGACGGUACCUAAGUAAGAAGCCCCGGCUAACUACGUGCUGGCAGCCGCGGUAAAACGUAGGGGGCAAGCGUUAUCCGGAAUUACUGGGUGUAAAGGGUGAGUAGGCGGCUUAACAAGCCACAUGUGAAAUGCCUGGGCUUAACCCGGGAAUUGCAUGAGGAACUGAUAGGCUAGAGUACAGGAGAGGUAAGCGGAAUUCCUAGUGUAGCGGUGAAAUGCGUAGAUAUUAGGAAGAACACCAGUGGCGAAGGCGGCUUACUGGACUGGUUACUGACGCUGAGUCACGAAAGCGUGGGGAGCGAACAGGAUUAGAUACCCUGGUAGUCCACGCCGUAAACGAUGAUAGCUAGGUGUUGGGGUGAGAGCCUCGGUGCCGGAGUAAACACAAUAAGCUAUCCACCUGGGGAGUACGGCCGCAAGGCUGAAACUCAAAGGAAUUGACGGG